GGCAAGAUGGCCGAGUGGUUAUGGCGCGUGACUCAAGUUUCUUAACUUGGCUGCAUAGCAGUCUGCGUUCUCGUGGAGAAAUCCGCGUGGGUUCGGUAAGUUUACGAUUCGAUCAUUCCCAAUAUCCAAACGAUGCUAAUCAGAAUAAAGAAUCCCACUCUUGUCA
rnacentral:tRNA from 1 species